AGUCUCAUUCCAAAUGAGAACUGGCACUGUUGACCAGUGUUCAAAAUUAGUCAACAUGACUGAAUUGAGACACAGGUCAUCCAUCACAGUAAAGGCAUUUCAGUGGUGACAGUGAGACCUCUGACAAUU
ensembl:snoRNA